AACGAACGCUGGCGGCAUGCCUAACGCAUGCAAGUCGAACGAGACCUUCGGGUCUAGUGGCGCACGGGUGCGUAACGCGUGGGAACCUGCCCUUAGGUUCGGAAUAACUCCCCGAAAGGGGUGCUAAUACCGGAUAAUGUCUUCGGACCAAAGAUUUAUCGCCUUUGGAUGGGCCCGCGUUGGAUUAGCUAGUUGGUAGGGUAAAAGCCUACCAAGGCGACGAUCCAUAGCUGGUCUGAGAGGAUGAUCAGCCACACUGGGACUGAGACACGGCCCAGACUCCUACGGGAGGCAGCAGUGGGGAAUAUUGGACAAUGGGCGAAAGCCUGAUCCAGCAAUGCCGCGUGAGUGAUGAAGGCCUUAGGGUUGUAAAGCUCUUUUACCUGGGAUGAUAAUGACAGUACCGGGAGAAUAAGCUCCGGCUAACUCCGUG
rnacentral:rRNA from 1 species